GCAUAUCAAUAAGCGGAGGAAAAGAAACCAACAGGGAUUGCCUUAGUAGCGGCGAGCGAACAGGCAAGAGCUCAGAUUUGAAAGCCCUCGGGCAUUGUAUUCUGAAGCCUUGGUCCUGAGAAUAGGUGUUUAAGUCUUCUGGAAAGGAGCGCCAUGGAGGGUGAUAGCCCCGUACGACACCACUCUCAUUGUAGGACUUUGGCAUGGAGUCGAGUUGUUUGGGAAUGCAGCUCAAAUGGGUGGUAUGCUCCAUCUAAAGCUAAAUAUCUGCGAGAGACCGAUAGCGAACAAGUACUGUGAAGGAAAGAUGAAAAGAACUUUGAAAAGAGAGUGAAAAAGUACGUGAAAUUGUUGAAAUGGAAGGAUAGGCCGCUAACCAUGUAGGGUCGUGUUUGAGGGGAAGAUAAAAGCUGAAGAAUGUAGCUCCUCGGAGUGUUAUAGCUUCAGUCCAUAUUCCCUCUCGAGCGCGAGGAUCGAAGA
rnacentral:rRNA from 1 species